rnacentral:tRNA from 1 species
UUGGUAGAAGCCAAAGGAGAGGCUAAUCACUGUUAAUGAUUGAAAUGAAGUUAUCUUCCUAUCAAG